AACGGCCGUACCAUGCUGAAUAUACCGGUUCUCGUUAGAUCACUGAAGUCAAGCAUCAUUGGGCGCGGUCAGUACUUGGGUGGGUGACCACCUGGGAACACUGCGUGC
rnacentral:rRNA from 1 species